rnacentral:rRNA from 1 species
UUAAACGAAACGGUAGGGUCGUAAACUUAAACGUUCCCGACUAAACCUAAACCUAGUAGUAGUACCGGACCGACUAGGUCGUACUAUUAUGUAAAAAGAUGGUUUCGGCUAUCACUUUUGGAUGGACCCGCGGCGUAUUAACUUGUUGGUGGGGUAACGGCCUACCAAGGUAAUGAUACGUAGCCGAACUGAGAGGUUGAUCGGCCACAUUGGGACUGAGACACGGCCCAAACUCCUACGGGAGGCAGCAGUAGGGAAUCUUCCACAAUGGGCGCAAGCCUGAUGGAGCAACGCCGCGUGAGUGAAGAAGGUCUUCGGAUCGUAAAACUCUGUUGUUAGAGAAGAACAUGCAGGAGAGUAACUGUUCUUGUAUUGACGGUAUCUAACCAGAAAGCCACGGCUAACUACGUGCC